UUUUUUUUUUUUUUUU
rnacentral:misc_RNA from 2 species